rnacentral:rRNA from 1 species
GAUUAACGCUGGCGGCGUGCCUAACACAUGCAAGUCGAACGGACCUUUAUUUUUGAAACACCCCAUUUCCUUGGAGUGUCCCAUAAAUAAUGGUUAGUGGCGGACGGGUGAGUAACACGUUGGUACCUGCCUUCUAGUGGGGGAUAACGCACCGAAAGGUGUGCUAAUACCGCAUGUGAUCUACGGAUCAAAGCAGCAAUGCGCUAGAAGAGGGGCCUGCGGCUGAUUAGCUGUUGGUAGGGUAAUGGCCUACCAAGGCGACGAUCAGUAGCUGGAUCGAGAGGUUGACCAGCCACACUGGGACUGAGAUACGGCCCAGACUCCUACGGGAGGCAGCAGUGAGGAAUUUUCCACAAUGGACGAAAGUCUGAUGGAGCAACGCCGCGUGCAGGAUGACGGCCUC